rnacentral:rRNA from 1 species
AAAGGUACCGCAAGUCUGCAGUCGAGCGGACAGAUGGGAGCUUGCUCCCUGAUGUUAGCGGCGGACGGGUGAGUAACACGUGGGUAACCUGCCUGUAAGACUGGGAUAACUCCGGGAAACCGGGGCUAAUACCGGAUGGUUGUUUGAACCGCAUGGUUCAAACAUAAAAGGUGGCUUCGGCUACCACUUACAGAUGGACCCGCGGCGCAUUAGCUAGUUGGUGAGGUAACGUUUCACCAGCGAGACGAUGAAUAUGCGACCUAUGAUGGGGAUGAACCCCACUCGGAGUGACAGUAGGCCCAGACUCCUACGGGAGGCAGCAGUAGGGAAUCUUCCGCAAUGGACGAAAGUCUGACGGAGCAACGCCGCGUGAGUGAUGAAGGUUUUCGGAUCGUAAAGCUCUGUUGUUAGGGAAGAACAAGUACCGUUCGAAUAGGGCGGUACCUUGACGGUACCUAACCAGAAAGCCACGGCUAACUACGUGCCAGCAGCCGCGGUAAUACGUAGGUGGCAAGCGUUGUCCGGAAUUAUUGGGCGUAAAGGGCUCGCAGGCGGUUUCUUAAGUCUGAUGUGAAAGCCCCCGGCUCAACCGGGGAGGGUCAUUGGAAACUGGGGAACUUGAGUGCAGAAGAGGAGAGUGGAAUUCCACGUGUAGCGGUGAAAUGCGUAGAGAUGUGGAGGAACACCAGUGGCGAAGGCGACUCUCUGGUCUGUAACUGACGCUGAGGAGCGAAAGCGUGGGGAGCGAACAGGAUUAGAUACCCUGGUAGUCCACGCCGUAAACGAUGAGUGCUAAGUGUUAGGGGGUUUCCGCCCCUUAGUGCUGCAGCUAACGCAUUAAGCACUCCGCCUGGGGAGUACGGUCGCAAGACUGAAACUCAAAGGAAUUGACGGGGGCCCGCACAAGCGGUGGAGCAUGUGGUUUAAUUCGAAGCAACGCGAAGAACCUUACCAGGUCUUGACAUCCUCUGACAAUCCUAGAGAUAGGACGUCCCCUUCGGGGGCAGAGUGACAGGUGGUGCAUGGUUGUCGUCAGCUCGUGUCGUGAGAUGUUGGGUUAAGUCCCGCAACGAGCGCAACCCUUGAUCUUAGUUGCCAGCAUUCAGUUUGGGCACUCUAAAGGUGACUGGCCGGUGACAAACCCGGAAGGAAGGUGGGGGAUGACGGUCAAAUCCUUCAUGGCCCCUUUAAGACCUGGGGCUACCCACGUGGCUACAAUGGGCAAGAACAAAAGGGCACCG